GGUUGUGUGGUGUUCGACCUUUUCAUCAACCCUGGCACAACGAGGUCAGUGUAUGGCAACAGAUGUCACUGUCCAACAAGCCCCGAGCAUCUUAUCCGACCAACCAGGCGGCUCGCAGCUUGUAGCCGGGCGGCGUGGAGGGGACAACCAGAUGAUACCCAUGCUUUUGUGAACAACAAAAAAUGUUUUCCAUGAUUCUGAAAUUAACUUGGUAUCAGUGAUUUCUCCCACGCCUUUAACAUUUAUAUAUAAGGAAGCAUACCUCAUAUAGAAGAAAAUGCAAGAUAGUGCCUCUAUGAUACAGAUCAUUGUGUAAAUAACAACACUUAUCAUAUGUAGAACUAUAAUAAGAUGUGCUGCGAAUGAAAAACCUAAAUACAUAUCAUGCUGUUAAUGUUUAUUACAUAAUAUUAAUUUCGUUAAUUUGCUAAUGUAGGCCCGCAAAUACGUGAAAUUAUUGACUUGUAAAUAAAAUUGAGUAAUUUAAUAAGCUAAGACUUUAUAAACAAUAUUCCACCAUUCUUAUUGGCAUCUUUACACUAUCAAUGUAUGUCAAAGUUUCAGGUAACAAAUGCAAAGUUUGGUAGCCAUGAAGCUGAAUGAUUAAGAGCCUUUAUAUUUGUAUGGAUUUUGAUAUCCUCGUGUGUUGCUCCAUUUUCCAAUGUAUUGAUAAACGAUGCUUGAAUGUAGUCCAUAUAAUCAGAAUCCAACUUACGUGUUUGAAAAAUAUGACAUAACAUAUUAAGGUAAAAUCGUUUUUUAUUAACUUGUAACCACUUUUGAGAUUUAAAUACAGUUUUAAUGGCA